UUGCAGCGUCUGCAAGAUUUAGGAGUUGAGGACCUGGAAGACCUGAGCUACCUGCAGGAGAGUGACCUCCUUUCUGUCCUGAGACCAAUUGAAGCCAGAAAGCUUCUGUCACUGCUCAAAAAGACAAGCCAACAAGAUGUCUUGGGCAGUCCUCCGAGCAACCAACAGUUCAGCAGAGUCAGUACCAGUACAAGUCCAGUAACACAGUCUGACGAGAUGCACCUUUCUGAAAAUUCCAUCUGAGAUCAUCAGAAAGCUGGAAACGGGAAACCGGCCAACAAAAAG